UACAGGACAUAGCCCCUGUCUCCCAGCAACAAUUAACUAAUGAGCAUCAUGGAGGAUGGAUCCUUUAAAAUCCUACCUCCUCCAUGACAGAUGUUGAUGAAUACAGUCUUGUACAAGUAUUCAGGGGCCCUGUGCCCGCCUCACUUAUUUCUUACUUAGUAAACUUUAUCCAUUCGAUCAGCUUAUUGUUUGCAAUUCAUUGAGAUCCCUCAGUGGUUACAAUUUUGGGCUAGAAGAUGAAAGUUUUUCCUUGUAGGCCUCAGGCUAUGGAGAGUUCAGAAUGUGUCUAACAUGGACUUAAAUGCUGUUGGACAGGUUUCUGAGGAUGCCACACUGGAGAAUGAUUUAACGAUGGAGUCUUCAUAUAACUAGGAGCAGUGUUCAUCCCUUUUCUCUCUCAAUUCUGGCAGAUGCUGUAGUCACCACUGGAAAAUCAGAAGCAAGGUCAAGUCUGGAGAAACCAUCCUGGAAGCAGACCUUGGUGGAGAUCUCCGUGGCUCAGAGCAACCAUUAGGAUGGACAAAGGUGUUUAGGACACUGUCUAUGCCUUCCCAUCAAUCUUAGUGUCUUAGUGACCUUUCUUAUUGCUGUGAUAGAAUUCCCUGAGAAGGACUACAUGAAGCAGAAGGGGCCUACUUAGGCUCACAGUUUAAAGGGCACAGGUCAUCAUGGAAGAUCAGUCCUAUUAGCAGGGGCUUCAGACAGGAAGCUGAGAAGGAUGGAUGCUGUGUCUCAGCUCAGGUUCUCCUGCUGUUUGUCUUGCAGUUAAGAUGGGUCUUUACAUCUUACACAACCUCCCUAACCUAAUCUAGACAAUCCAUCACAGGCCAGCCUAGAGGCUUGUCAGCUUAGGUGGUUCUAGAGCCCAUCAAAUGAACAAGAGCCAAAGAGCCAUCAACUGUAACGCUUACAAUGGAAACACGAGGUGGUUAUUGUGCUUCUUAUUCUAUGAUUUAGAAGGCCAAGGUUCCAAGAAGUGUGUCUUCAUUUUUAUAUCAAGGGGCUGGGAAGAAGAGCACAUGUUCUUUGCAGCACACAUCAGCCUGCUUGUGAAGCUAUCCCUACUUUUGUCAAGGCUCUGAAGUUUCAUGAAAGAAACAGAAGAUAGUUUUUGUUUUUCUGCUAUCUUUUCUUAUCCUCUGAUUUCUCUUAUCUGGACCAAAUGAAGUGACUGGAGGAGUGUGACUGGAUCGGAGCAUCAAGCUCUGAAUGUGUGUGUGUGUGUGUGUGUAUGUGUGUGUGUGUGUGUGUGUGUGUGUGUGUGUGUGUGUGUGUGUGAGAGAGAGAGACAGAGACAGAGACAGAGACAGAGAGAGAGACAGAGAGACAGAGAGAAUCAGAGCAUCAAGCUCUGAAUGUGUGUGUGUGUGUGUGUGUGUGUGUGUGCGAGAGAGAGAGACACACACACACACAGAGACAGAGACAGAGAGAGAGAGAGACAGAGAGAGAGGAAGGGAGUUAGAAAGGCAAAUGCAAGAUGUAAACUUUUACAAGGCUACCUUAUUGACCAUUUGGGGGUGAGUAUCCAUAGUUUUCCUCAAUGAGGCCAUUUAUUUUCUUUCCAUUGCUACGGUGUUGGUGCUGGGACCACCAGCCAGUGCAGUAGGCUCCUAUAAUUUAGUCACAAACCCACCUGUCAAUGUUGUUCUGAACAUCUGGCAUUCAUCCUUUCAGAGGCUACAUCUUCUCCUCUAGGAUUAUGACAUUGCUAUAAAGAUCUCUGAGCUGGGAGAACUCUGAGGAACCCUCAGAACACAGAAACCUUAAUAACAGCCAGAUCUGAACGAACCCCAGUGGCUGCGGAGAUUCUAUACCUGACUCUCCUUCCCAAGGUGACCUAGGGUUUAGAGAGUUGGAUGAAUAAAUGAACAUGCUAAUAAAGGUAAAAUAUCCACCAACCACCAGCAAAAGCAGACCAUAAGCAACACAUUCUGGUGUGCAAGCUCUAACUCCUUGUUCCAAGCUCCAAGCUUUCUGUUAGCUUAAAAUGACAAGUUAAAAACGUUAAUUUAGAAAAGCAACUUCGAAUUUCUAUCUUCAACUGCUUAGCACACCCUUAGGAUGCUUUGUGGACCAUUACUAAUACCCGGAUACCUGAAAUGAAACCCUUCCUCUUUUCCCACCGAUCUUCUUUGCUCUGUCAAUGUUACUGCCAUCUCCCCAGCCACCUUUACCUGACUGUUAUACCGUAUUGCUGCUGUCUGCUCCUCGUGCAAUGCUGUCAGGCAAACAUGUUGUCCACAAAGAAGUCAUGGUUAGCCUGGUCUUAACUCUUAGCCACUUUGUAGAUCCUUGGCACUGAUUGUGCGAGUGUGUGCGUGCGUGCGUGCAUGCGUGCGUGUGUGAUCUGUAAAUAAAGAACAUCUGGUCUCAGUUUCUACACUAGAUAAGAGAGCAGUUAAUUGAUUUGAGAAAAGCAAGUUCACCUAGAAAACCAUCUGUCUGGGAACAAAAUUCCUGUGAUUCCAGGCACGGGGUUUUGCUGGUCCUACACCACUUUUUCCGUGAUCUCUAAGUUGCAGCCUGCAGUGGGGGAUGCAUAACGUUCAGUGAGGGAUGGAAGGGGACCUCGGUGGUAAACAGGUGCAUCUGCACACAUCUGUGGCUACAGUCUGCAAAUCAUCUCACUCUUUCGUUAAAUCCUGGGGAGUGGAGUGAGGUUAAAAGAUCCAUUUUCUCAGUUUUUGUGGUGGUUUGAAUGAGAAUGUCUUCCUCCAUGGGCUCAUGUAUUUGAACAUGUGGUGUCUCCAGUUGGUGUGGUUUGAGGAGGUCUUGGAGGUGUGAUUAUGUUGGAGGAUAUAUGUCACUGGGAAUAGACUCUUGAGUUUUUAAAGACUUGCACCAUUCCUGGGAGUCACUCCCUCCCUCUCUCUCUCUCUCUCUCUCUCUCUCUCUCUCUCUCUCUCUCUCUCUCUCUCUCUCUCUCUCUCUCCCCUUGCUUGUGAUUCAAGAUAUGAGCUCUCAUUUCUGCUUUAUCUGGCUUUCUGCCACACUUCCCUGUUGUAGCGGACUCUUACUCCAGGACCAUAAACCUAUAUAAACUCUUUCUUCUUUAACUUGCCUUGGUCAUGGUGCUUUAUUACAGUGACAGAAAAAUCAUGAAUAAAGUUUUGUUUCUGUUAUAUGUUGUAGACCCUAUCCAUCAGUUAAAUGUGUUGCUAGAUCUGACCUUUGUCAGGCAGUGCUGAGGGCUGAAGAUGGGGCUUCCACAUGCUUGGGUAUCAGUCUUGGAGAAUACAAAGUCGAUUUUACAUUUUUCUCCAUCCAACUCAUUAAUCAAAGACACAUCUGAGCUAAUAAAAGACCAAAUGUAUUCAAUAGAAAAUGAGAAUUAAGAGCUGGAAGGAGUUUUGAUAGACAUCAUUUGAUCCAAACCUGCAGAGUCACAGACAAGGGAAGUGGGACCCAACAAAGUCUUGACUUUCUAAAGUCACUUUCCUCCUGAGAAUUUGAACCUGAGCUGUGAGCCAUGUUUCUCAUCUCUUGACCUCAUGCUGCUGGCCUUAAAGUCAGCAGAGGAAAUAGCUGAAUAUUUUCCUGCAGAAACUGAGAAGUCACGUGGCUGGUUUCAAACAAAACAACAGCAGCCAACAACACAAGCAACUGUAAAAUAAUACACCCUGGCCACUGGGGGCAGAGUUGGUGCUGGAGGAGCUGACAGAAUUUUUGUUUUAUUUUUUGAUGUUCACCAGCAAAUUCUAAAGUGCACUCUAUAUGGAGAAUAACUGUUUAAGGAGCUGUGAGGGAGUGACUGAGAUAACUGUUAGCCUCUGGGGUUUCUCUGUAGUUGGAGUCGGGUGGGAGGUAUGCCCCUCUGGGCAUAAUGUUUUCUUGAUGGUUUUAAUCAUGCAUCUUAAAGUCAAAUAGAGUACCUGACAUGUUCAUCUCCCCAGUCUCUUCCAUGGUUAUAAUUUUUAAAAU
rnacentral:lncRNA from 1 species